GAGUUUGAUCUUGGCUCAGGAUGAACGCUGGCGGCGUGCCUAAUACAUGCAAGUCGAGCGAACGGACGAGAAGCUUGCUUCUCUGAUGUUAGCGGCGGACGGGUGAGUAACACGUGGAUAACCUACCUAUAAGACUGGGAUAACUUCGGGAAACCGGAGCUAAUACCGGAUAAUAUUUUGAACCGCAUGGUUCAAAAGUAAAAGACGGUCUUGCUGUCACUUAUAGAUGGAUCCGCGCUGCAUUAGCUAGUUGGUAAGGUAACGGCUUACCAAGGCAACGAUGCAUAGCCGACCUGAGAGGGUGACCGGCCACACUGGAACUGAGACACGGUCCAGACUCCUACGGGAGGCAGCAGUAGGGAAUCUUCCGCAAUGGGCGAAAGCCUGACGGAGCAACGCCGCGUGAGUGAUGAGGGUCUUCGGAUCGUAAAACUCUGUUAUUAGGGAAGAACAUAUGUGUAAGUAACUGUGCACAUCUUGACGGUACCUAAUCAGAAAGCCACGGCUAACUACGUGCCAG
rnacentral:rRNA from 1 species